CCUACGGGAGGCAGCAGUGGGGAAUAUUGCACAAUGGGGGGAACCCUGAUGCAGCAACGCCGCGUGGGUGAAGAAGUACUCCGGUAUGUAAAGCCCUGUCAGCAGGGAAGAAAAUGACGGUACCUGACCAAGAAGCCCCGGCUAACUACGUGCCAGCAGCCGCGGUAAUACGUAGGGGGCAAGCGUUAUCCGGAUUUACUGGGUGUAACGGGAGCGUAGACGGGAAGGCAAGUCUGGAGUGAAAGCCCGGGGCCCAACCACGGGACUGCUUUGGAUACUGUGUUGCUGGAGUGCAGGAGAGGUAAGCGGAAUUCCUGGUGUAGCGGUGAAAUGCGUAGAUAUUAGGAAGAACACCGGUGGCGAAGGCGGCUUACUGGACUGUAACUGACGUUGAGGCUCGAAAGCGUGGGGAGCAAACAGGAUUAGAUACCCGAGUAGUC
rnacentral:rRNA from 1 species